rnacentral:rRNA from 1 species
UACGGGGGGAGCAAGCGUUGUUCGGAUUUACUGGGCGUAAAGGGCGCGUAGGCGGCCACCGCAAGUCGACUGUGAAAUCUCCGGGCUUAACCCGGAAAGGUCAGCCGAUACUGCGGGGCUAGAGUGCAGAAGGGGCAACUGGAAUUCUCGGUGUAGCGGUGAAAUGCGUAGAUAUCGGGAGGAACACCGGUGGCGAAGGCGGGUCUCUGGGCCGAUACUGACGCUGAGGAGCGAAAGCGUGGGGAGCGAACAGG